CAGAAGCAAUUCCCAAAACCAACCAGUCAACAUUAGACUACGAACUUCCAAAGGUAGGCCACCUUGCUCCAGGGACUGGAAGUUUCUUUCAGAAACCCUGGAGCAUAGGGACACAGGACUUAUAGAUGAGAACACAGAUCCAGGGGGAGGAGCCAAGAUGGCCGAAUAGGAACAGCUCCGGUCUACAGCUCCCAGCGUGAGCUACGCAGAAGACGGAGGACAGGUGACCGCAAAGCAGAAGUGAUGAAGAGCCAGUCACCAUGGCCACAUCUUGAGGUCACACAGUCAGCAGUUCGCUUUGCUCACUCAGUCCUAUAAAACACUGCUGCUUAAAGAAACCAGAUGGCGCCAGAGCUUCUUGACCCCUGACCAGAUGCCAGAGGAAGAUAAGACACCAUAAAACCAGCGCAAAUGGGAACUGGCAAACCCUGGGUGCCUUUAGAUCAUGAACAUAUCAUUAUAAUGCUAAUUUCCCUUCCCUAAAAGAAAAUCUCUGCCAUUUUGUGUACAUAUGAUAUAUGAAGAUGCAUGUUUAUGAAUUGGGCCUGCGUGUCUGGAGUCCCACCCUGCACAUACUAACAUUCCUUUCCUGCCCCAUAGGAAUAAAGGCAAUAAACCCCUUGCCUUUUAUUCUUCAAGAAAAGAUGCUUUCAGAGGAAGAGCUCACCUUCUCCAUUCCCUGGCAAAUGAAUAAAACCUGAUUGCCUUUUUCAAUGGGAUAUUCUUUGUUUGUGACUGAUACACAGUGGGGAAAAAACUCAUUUUAUCAGGGACACUUUGGGAGACCCAGGCCAGAGGAUUGGUUGAGGCCAGGAGUUUGAGACCAGCCUGGGCAAUAGAGCCAG
rnacentral:lncRNA from 1 species